rnacentral:rRNA from 1 species
UGAACGCUGGCGGCAGGCCUAACACAUGCAAGUCGAGCGGAAACGAUCCUAGCUUGCUAGGAGGCGUCGAGCGGCGGACGGGUGAGUAAUGCAUAGGAAUCUGCCCGGUAGUGGGGGAUAACUUGAGGAAACUCAAGCUAAUACCGCAUACGCCCUACGGGGGAAAGCAGGGGCUCUUCGGACCUUGCGCUAUCGGAUGAGCUUAUGUCGGAUUAGCUGGUUGGUGAGGUAACGGCUCACCAAGGCGACGAUCCGUAGCUGGUCUGAGAGGAUGAUCAGCCACAUCGGGACUGAGACACGGCCCGAACUCCUACGGGAGGCAGCAGUGGGGAAUAUUGGACAAUGGGGGCAACCCUGAUCCAGCCAUGCCGCGUGUGUGAAGAAGGCCCUCGGGUUGUAAAGCACUUUCAGCGAGGAAGAAUGCUUGUCGGUUAAUACCCGGCAAGGGAGACAUCACUCGCAGAAGAAGCACCGGCUAACUCCGUGCCAGCAGCCGCGGUAAUACGGAGGGUGCGAGCGUUAAUCGGAAUUACUGGGCGUAAAGCGUGCGUANGCGGCUUGAUAA